rnacentral:rRNA from 1 species
GACAGAGGUGCCGAGCGUUAGGCGGAAUCACUGGGCUUAAAGCGUGUGUAGGCGGGUCCGUAAGUACCUUGUGAAAUCCCACGGCUCAACCGUGGAACGGCUGGGUAUACUGCCUGUCUUGAGCCAGCUAGGGGCGAGCGGAACAGACGGUGGAGCGGUGAAAUGCGUAGAUAUCGUCUGGAACGCCGAAGGUGAAAACAGCUCGCUGGGGCUGUGCUGACGCUGAGACACGAAAGCCAGGGGAGCGAACGGG